rnacentral:rRNA from 1 species
AUUGAACGCUGGCGGCAUGCCUUACACAUGCAAGUCGAACGGCAGCACGGGCUUCGGUCUGGUGGCGAGUGGCGAACGGGUGAGUAAUGUAUCGGAACGUACCAUUGAGUGGGGGAUAACGUAGCGAAAGUUACGCUAAUACCGCAUAUUCUCUCCGGAGGAAAGCAGGGGACCGCAAGGCCUUGCGCUCUUUGAGCGGCCGAUAUCAGAUUAGCUAGUUGGUGGGGUAAAAGCUCACCAAGGCGACGAUCUGUAGCGGGUCUGAGAGGAUGGUCCGCCACACUGGAACUGAGACACGGUCCAGACUCCUACGGGAGGCAGCAGUGGGGAAUUUUGGACAAUGGGCGCAAGCCUGAUCCAGCAAUGCCGCGUGCGUGAAGAAGGCCUUCGGGUUGUAAAGCGCUUUUGUCAGGGAGCAAAUCCUUGUGGCUAAUACCCACCGGGGAUGAGAGUACCUGAAGAAUAAGGACCGGCUAACUACGUGCCAGCCGCCGCGGUAACAC